ACCCGCCUGCUUCGGAAUGUUUGAAUCACUAACUGCCAGACCAUAAGACUGCCAUCAGCCACCCAGGUGAGGGGCUGCAAGCAGUGGGAACUCUGGUGCCAUCGGGAGCUGGCAGCCAGCUUAUUAACGAACCAUUUGUGGCUGAACUCUCAGCAGGGAGCUGCCACUAGCAACCCUCCAGCAGGCCACAGAUCAUGUAUCUGUGGGCUCUGACCCAGCACAGACAUCUCAACACUUGAUAUAUAAACUCAAGAUUCAGGACUUCAUGGAUACGCCUAUUGGAUCCUAAUGGGAAGCCCAAGAUUUGGAAAAGGAAGACACUGGGCAUGCACUGGGCUCUUACGAGAUGCCAGACAUGAGGUCCAUUCAUGUGGGUUCUCUCAUUAAGUCCUCCCAGCAAGU